GACAGAGGGUGCAAACGUUGUUCGGAAUUACUGGGCGUAAAGCGCGUGUAGGCGGCUCGGCAAGUCGGGUGUGAAAGCCCUGGGCUUAACCUAGGAAGUGCACUCGAAACUGCCAAGCUUGAGUUCUGGAGAGGAAGGCGGAAUUCUCGGUGUAGCGGUGAAAUGCGUAGAUAUCGAGAGGAACACCUGCGGCGAAGGCGGGUAGCUGGGCCGACACUGACGCUGAGGCGCGAAAGCCAGGGAGCGAACGGG
rnacentral:rRNA from 1 species